AUCUGUACAUGAUGACUUGAUAUAAUCAAUGGGAAUCUCUCUGAGAAAUAAUGAGGGACUAAUCUUCAUACUGAUACAGUG